AACGAACGCUGGCGGCAUGCCUAACACAUGCAAGUCGAACGAGACCUUCGGGUCUAGUGGCGCACGGGUGCGUAACGCGUGGGAACCUGCCCUUAGGUUCGGAAUAACUCCCCGAAAGGGGUGCUAAUACCGGAUAAUGUCUUCAGACCAAAGAUUUAUCGCCUUUGGAUGGGCCCGCGUUGGAUUAGCUAGUUGGUAGGGUAAAAGCCUACCAAGGUGACGAUCCAUAGCUGGUCUGAGAGGAUGAUCAGCCACACUGGGACUGAGACACGGCCCAGACUCCUACGGGAGGCAGCAGUGGGGAAUAUUGGACAAUGGGCGAAAGCCUGAUCCAGCAAUGCCGCGUGAGUGAUGAAGGCCUUAGGGUUGUAAAGCUCUUUUACCCGGGAUGAUAAUGACAGUACCGGGAGAAUAAGCUCCGGCUAACUCCGUG
rnacentral:rRNA from 1 species